CAUGCAUCAUUCCAAGCAACUGCUGGCCAUUCCAAGCUUCUCACUUCCUGGGAUCCUACUCUUCCAGGUACUUUUGACUCCCAGGAUAUGAAACCUCAGUUUAAGUAAAGAAACGUAAAACAAAGACAACAACAAAAACAGGCCACCAGUUGCAAGUGGCUCCAAGAUGUGGGGACUGUUCUGAUGAUCACUACCUGUUGUCACCCAUCCCCUGACUAAGCAAAGGGGUCCUAAUUGCUGAGAUUUUUAAAUCUCUUUGAUCCCAUCUUUCUACAGACAUCUUCCUACAAUAAGCGUUCACCCUCGGCCUCAGAUUUCGGAUGUUGGAGGAUGGCCCAAAGAGAGUUUGACCAGAGGAGGGAGCCCAGCUGCUAAGACCAAGAUCGUUAAAAAUCUCCCAAGAACUGUAGUUUGCUCUGAGAGCUCUCCCUCAACUCUGCAUAAACCUGAACUUAGAGAUCUAUCAUCAGACCUCAGAGGUUUACAGGGGAAAGGUGAGACAUCUUUCAAGGAGAAAUCAAUCCCCCUGUACCCUGGCUAUUCUCCAGCGUGAAGCGGCCAGGAAGUAUCUGUGAUAAAGUCAAGGCGGACCCGCAUCAAAAGGAUCAGACGCAGGAAGGCUUGAACAAGUGCAAGCCACAUUUGGACCCAGUUAUGAAAACGCGCCCAGGCUGACUCGUCUCGCUGUUUACUUUCAUCUCCGGACUUUGUGAGGUGUGCAAAACCUCGGGAAGGUACCAGUGUGAUUCAUACCCAGGUUCUCUCAAUGAGACCUUCAAGGUUGUAAAACUACAUCCACCUUUAAUGCUAGACGUCGGCUUGCUCAUUCUAACUGUAAAAGACUAAAGACUUCUCAAUGUGUGCUAAGGCAAGAUUUCCGGCCAUAGAUUAUAGCAGUGGGGAGAGAGAGCAGGACAGGGAGCAGGUUUCCAUUUGGUUGCUAAGGGAGGAAAUAUUCUCCUGCAAACUGGAUCUCUUCACUAUAUCCACCUAACUUCCUGCAUCCCAUAACUGAAGCUCAGAGAAUAUGAAGCUCCCCCUCUGGUUUCUUGUAGCAAAGAAAGCUGGAUGCAGGCAGACUGGAUGUGCUUGCUGGCGACUUCAAACUCGAUCAGUUAGCUCAGGCUGGUUUGGGAUGGCAACACUGACAGGACUCCGAGUGGGAUUUUAAACAGGCUUCGGCACAUGAGCUCUUGCCCAAUCUUCAUCCAAAACUCAGUUACUCAUCUUGGUUGAAGGGUGCCAAGGGCCCCAAAGAGGAGCCUACACACUGCAGAGGAAGCAGUACACAUCCUGAGAAGUGCAACCUUAGGUCUCAUUCAGUCAGCCACGCAGGCAAAGCAGCAGUAGUUCAGCCCUCAUCUCUGUGGUCCCCACAGCACAGUAAUGGACACAGCAUCACGUGACACCAGGAUGAAAUGAGCCUGCUGGGUCUCACACUUCUACCGAAAGUCUUUUGGUGAGACUCAGGAAUUUGUGGUUGGCAAGCAUCUCAACUAGUUAAACUUGCAGGCCCUGGGCUUAAGAUAAUGGCUUAAGCUACCCUACCCAUGAUGCCUUACAUUACAAGGAGGCAUAUGCCUGAAACUUUCUCCUUCUAAGUCUCCCCUCAAACUCACUGGCCUGGCAUUUAUUCAAUCUCCAUUGAUGAACACUGGCAGGGGCUUUGGCUCUCAGUGCUCAACAUAUACAGCAAAUAGAAAAUCCUUCUGGAGUGACUUCACCAGAGUUCUUUUCCUAGUCACUGUAACUUCAUUGUAACUAAGUGCCUGACAGCAACUUGAGGGAGAUUUUUCUUUUAAGGUUUCAGAAGCAUACCACCCACCACAUCAGGAAAAGGCAAGCACAGUGGCUCAUCCUGAGAGGGUUGACAAAUGAAUGGCUUAUCUUGCUUGCUUAUAUGGUGCUGGACAGGAGGCAGAGGGCACAGCAUAAAACCAGAAGACAAGAAAAAUUCCAAAACCCUGCCUGUUCCUCCAGAUAGAUCCUGCACCCCAAUGUUUCACAACUUCCCAAAACAAUGCCACCAACUGAGAGCAAGUGGUCACAAAAAAUGGAAGACCUUCAGAAGCAAAACUUACUAGCCUGGAGUUAUAUUGGAAAUGCUACAACUAUUCUGGUAUCCUUAUGAAGUAGAUAAUCAUUCAGUUAAUUUUAGUAAUGUCUUCCAAAUUCCUCUGGGUUUAAAGUAAAGUCAAUUCUGUUUCUUAGAAUAAAACACCAUUGAAUAAACACCAACAA